GGUGAAACUUAAAAGAGCAACGUCCGUAUCAUGUGCUAAAGCGCAUCCCUUUAUUGAAAUGUGUUGUAGUUUUUACAUAUUAUUAUUUCUUUAUUUUAAUUAUACAAAUUUUGUAUUGUUAAAUAUUUAAAGGGUGUGGAGUCUCAACAGGGUGAAAUUUUCAGGACAAAAGGGAGGUAAUUCCUUUGUUAUACUCAUUAUACUUGAAAUUUCCUGAGUGUUUAUAUGGAAUAUAAAAUAUUCACUUUUGUACACAUUUUCUUUAAAUAUCAGAUGUAUACUUGCUAAAAUUACUAUUAUUUAGAGUUCUGUGAAUAAAAAAAAAUGUAAGCAGAGCUCUAGCUAUAGAUAAUAGAUUUGGAGGGUGGGAGAAAUUGUGGGUAACUACAAUUGAUUAGGUGAAAUUUCAAAAGACUUAAAAAGUGCAUCUGAUAUUUAUUUUUACAUAAUGUUAUUUCUGAAAGCAAAUGGACAAUAAGAUGAGGACAUAAACCACCUUCGAGGUUAGGAUAGCAGCUCUUAAGGAAGAUGGUCAAUUAAAUCUUCAACCCAGUCUGAGGCCUUACCAUGAAAAAUAUGUGGUUAGCAUCACAAGUUUCCUUUGGGUAACUUGCUUGAGGAGUAAAGAGAGCUGUUUAAGUUGAAAGUGUCACCUUUGCUGCCUUGUGUGGUACAAUCUUCAGACAAUAUCCUGCAAACCGUGGCUGAACUGUUACUAUUUUUUUUUAAUAGAAUCCUUAGAC